UACAGAGGUCUCAAGCGUUGUUCGGAUUCAUUGGGCGUAAAGGGUGCGUAGGCGGCGCGGUAAGUCGGGUGUGAAAUCUCGGAGCUUAACUCCGAAACUGCAUUCGAUACUGCCGUGCUUGAGGACUGGAGAGGAGACUGGAAUUUACGGUGUAGCGGUGAAAUGCGUAGAUAUCGUAAGGAAGGCCAGUGGCGAAGGCGAGUUCCUGGACAGUUACUGACGCUGAGGCACGAAGGCCAGGGGAGCAAACGGG
rnacentral:rRNA from 1 species